AAAUCGUACCCCAAACCGACACAGGUGGUCAGGUAGAGAAUACCAAGGCGCUUGAGAGAACUCGGGUGAAGGAACUAGGCAAAAUGGUGCCGUAACUUCGGGAGAAGGCACGCUGAUAUGUAGGUGAAGUCCCUUGCGGAUGGAGCUGAAAUCAGUCGAAGAUACCAGCUGGCUGCAACUGUUUAUUAAAAACACAGCACUGUGCAAACACGAAAGUGGACGUAUACGGUGUGACGCCUGCCCGGUGCCGGAAGG
rnacentral:rRNA from 1 species